UAACUUUUAAUCUUUGGCCAGUCUAUUUUUCUUUCUCUAACAUUCAUUUCAGGUCUUUUCUUUCACUUCCUUUGCUAUUUUUCUCAAUUUUUUUUUUCUUUCAGACCUGUUCAUUCUUUUCAAUUCAACCAGAUUUUUGCAGAUCAUUUUUCUUUUCUUUUUUUCACCUCUGGCCUCACUCUUUUUCAUGCAAUCACCAAGUUCCAGGCUUCUCCCUAAAUCUCACAACUCUCUAAGGUUGAUUAAUGGAUGGGGGAAGUGGCUUGAAAUGGAUGGAAACAAGAAAAGAGGCUAAAGCUCAAAACAAGGUGCAAUGGUAAGAAAAUGGAAUGGGUAGGCUAAAUUGGCCAUGGCUGAAAAUGAAGAAUGCCUAGAUCAUAUUUAAAGUAUACCAAGAGUAAGCACAUCAACAAAGAAUCAAUGCAAAAUCAGAAUGAAAGCUAAACAUGUAUGUAUCACACAAGAAAGACAAAAACUGGCCCAAAAUCUCUCAAGGGUUAAAGAAUUGUUAAAACUGACUUGCUACUCAUCCUAUGCAAAAAUUGCUUAAUUGAAAUGAACUAAAGCUGCAAAAAAUUAAUGGUAGAACUACCUCUGCCUAAAUCUAAAGCUAAGUCUACUCUUGACAAUUCAAAUAUAAGGAAAUGAAGCUAAAAAUUGAAUGAAUUCAUCAAGGAAUGAAGAGAAGCUUGCAACAGAAUUUAAAAGCACCUAAGAAAUGCUUAAACAGAAUUACCCAACUAUAUACACCCUAAACUAGAGGUGUCAAUUUAACCCAUGGCCCCAAGACCAGCCCUAACCCACUAUUGAAAAAGCCCUAUUUUAAGAAGCCCCUUAAGUA
rnacentral:lncRNA from 1 species